rnacentral:tRNA from 18 species
CGGGGCGUAGCGCAGCCUGGUAGCGCACUUGCAUGGGGUGCAAGGGGUCGUGAGUUCGAAUCCCACCGUCCCGACCA